rnacentral:lncRNA from 1 species
CCUGUUCACGGAUGGGAGUACUGAGGUUCUGAGAAGCUCUGAGGUGCUGCAGGAGCCAGAAGCAUCAUGGUGGCUUUUAUCCCAUCGGGCUCUGCAUGGGUCCCUUGUCCUGCCAAGACCCAUUGCCACUCUUGAGUCUUGGGGGUUUGACUCUCACCGGGCCUCCUCACCCCACCUGGACCCCUGACCCAUGCCUACUGGUCCUGUGACCCCUCCUGACGGUGCCUCACAGCCCUUCCCAGAGGCAGCUGUUCCAGGUGCCUGAAGUCGGCCCGCGAGGCCCAUGAUAAAGGCCCGGGGAGUGGCCAGGCCCUUGUGGGGGACGAGCUCCGGAUCCCUCUGGUCUUGCCAGAUUGGCGUCAGAGCCCUGGGGGUGCAGGGCUCUGAUUGGGCUCCAGGCCCAAAUGGGGAAAAGCCGCAGGAACACAGGUGAGGGGCCACGGCAUGGGUGGGACAUGUGGCCAGGAAGCCAAGAGGAGGCAGAAGGAAGCAGAGACACCCACGAGGGGCCAGGAGCCAGCCCCGGCCAGCCCCGGCCCUCCCAGCGCCCCUCCUGGCCAGAGGGCGAGGAUGGAGAGUAGAUGGAGCCUGCAGGAGGCGAGGCCUGUAGGCUCCUGGGACACAGGUGUCUUCCCAGUAGGUGACCUGGGAGGCUCUUGGGGAAGUGGCCCCUGGAGUGUAGGGGCCGGGAAGUCUUCCAACUGCUGCUCAGUGGACUGGCGGCCUGCCUGGCCAGCGGGAGGCCCCAACUGAUGGCUAGCUGGGAAGGAGGCCGGUCUGAAUCUGAACAGGCACUGAGUGACAUUUUCGAGGACCUGUCCUAAGGAAUAGGGCAGAAUGGCUGUCAUCAGCAUCUCUAAAAUGUCUGGGGGGGAACACAGCCUCUGAAGCCUGGUUUUGGGGAGCAGAUUGACAUCUGUCCCCAGGGUCUCAGAGUGCUCCCUCUGAGCCUGUUUGUGAGGGUCUGGCAGAACCUUUGCUGGUCAGAGGGAGGCCAGCUUCAGGCCCGCUCAGCUGGAGUGUCCAUGAGGACCGCAGGGCCCUGCUCUGGGUCCCCAUGACUUCCUCACACGCCAGCCACCUGAAGACAGGCAUUCUUUGUGCCAAACCCUGUCCCCUGGGGCUCUCCUGAGGCCUCAAGUGAGCUGGGCCAAUAAGGAUGGUUUUGGGGGCCUGACAACUGAAUCUGACUGUCCAGGGGGGUGCUGUCUGGGCUUGAUGACAGCCAGCAUAGGUCCCUGGCAACAGGACAGCUGCCAGCCUGUCCCAAGAGACAGGCCUGGUCCAAGAGACGGCCCUGCAGGUUCAUGGCCAGAUGGUGACCGCAUGUCACGGUGGAAAGACGGGCACACCUAGGAGUCAUCGGUCCCUGCCGGCCAUGGGUGGAUAAGGGUAGUGCAUGCUGCUAGCUGGCUUCUCUAGUAGGUGGGGGAGCCCCAAGUCUUCUGCCUGCCAAGGGGAACCCCUUCCCCCACAAGGGGUGAUCAAUCCACAAGGUCCCAUGGGGUACAUGUGACAGGGACAAGGAGUGCUGGCCUCACCUAUCUCAGAUGCCACUUUGGAGAGCCCCUGUCCCUCAGGGCCCCCUUGGCUCAUGCUCCCACUUUGAAGACUGCCUGUCCUUGUCCCCCGGGUGGUUGGGAUUCUGGAAUGGAUACUUAGGGAGGGGGCCCGUGGCAGGGUGCCAGGUGGGGCUACAUUCUGGGGACGGCUGACCUGGGGGAGGUGAUAGGUAAGUGUGUGUGUGUGUGUGUGUGUGUGUGUGUGUGUGUGAGAGAGAGAGAGAGAGAGAGAGAGAGAGAGAGAGAGAGAGAGGAAGGGAGGGAGGGAGAGAGGUGGGGGGAGGCAUUACAAGGUUGGAAGAGAAGUUGCAUUCACAACUGGCCCAGGAGACUUCACCUCUGGAGGGACCUAUUAUGUCUCUGUCACCCCUUGCCCUAGUAUAGGAGUGGUACAGGUUGGGAGGACCACUCCUUUUUUAGGGGGGAGAGACAGAUUCCAUCAAAAUGCUGAGCCCCUGAACUCUGGCUUAACCUGAGCCCCAGGCCUGGGGAGGAGGAGUCUUCCUCAGGGGUGAGGUCCCAGGCCGCAGCCAGAGGCCACUCCAGACACCAGGCUGAGACCCAGGGAGGUGAGGAAGUCUGUCAGGAGCACACCUGGUGGCCUCUGGAUUCUGGUGACCCCCGACUUUCCACCCAGCCCCUUCCCUUGCUGCCUAGAACUCGGUGUCCCUUGGUGCAGCCUGAGCCACCAGGCUCCUUCCACUUACAGGCGGGGGCAGGAUGGCAAAGUGGCUGGGGCCCUGCAGGUUGGCCAGGAAGCAGGGAAGGACCACCCAAGGCUGACGGGACCUCUCCUUUUCCAACCUGGGGAUCAAGAGUCCCGGGGUCCAUGGGAUGUGCUGCCAGAGGCCACGUAUGGGAGGCGGCCGCUCAGGUCCUGGGAGCAGGUUUGUGGCCUCUGUUGUGAGGGGCAGCCCUGUGAGCCUCAUUUCUGGGUGCCAUACGACCUCCUGCCUGUGAACUCCAGCAAGUCGUUUAACCUUGGCCAAACGAGGAGCGUGAGCAUGGCUUUCUCACUAGGCCCCAGGAGGUUCAAAGGAGAUUACAAAUAAUGAUCGACAAUAUUUGCUUUAUUGAUUAUGGCCAUGAACCAGGCAGGAAGAACCUGCCAGAUCAAACAUCUGCUCCUUAAGAAAAAUGACAUUUUUAGUGCCUGUGGGCCAAACCCUGAGCCAGCGUGACCCUGGGGCCUCCAGAGGAGCUGCACAGGGAAUGCUGCGGGCGUUGGUGGAAAGGGGAGCCCAGAGACCUGUGGACCUGCCCCUGCUGCCCAGGCGCUGCUGGCUAAGCCUGAAGCAGGCAGGAGGGAAGCAGAGCCUGGGGGCACCAGCUGGGCAAGGUACAAAUGCCAGUAGCCAACCUCGGCACCUUGCUCACUCUUUCUGAGCCUCAGUUUCCUCAUCUAUAAAAUGAUAUGACAGUAGUAUCUAUGCCCCAGCGAUGCCGUGUGGUUCAAUGAGACACCAUCUACUUCUGCACAAUUUGAAAGGUCAAUGACAUUGUUUCCCCUGUGCUUUCUUCCUCCCUUUUUCUGUUCCUGCCCCAGGGAAGGGAGGUGGCAGAAUGAAGGUGGGAAGUGGAAGGAGUCCCUUCCUGCCUCUGGUGUGCAGAUGCCUUGGCUUGGAGGAAGCUGCAGGGGCAGCAGAUUUAGACCCCCCCCCAUGAGUGAAUAAGAAUAGCCUCAGCCCAACCCCCCAGGAAGGCCCUCCCCGCUGGGGCACAGGAGAGGGAGGGGGUAUGAGGGCCUCGGUUCCCCAGGAUCUCCUAGGGAGCCAGCAAGGCACAGGAGAAGGAAAGGACAGUGCUGUGUGACCAGGUCACAGACCUCAAACACCCCCACGGUGGCCUUCCUGCCACAUAGGUGGAGACAGCAGAUGGGACCUUGGUGCAACUGUGACCCAGAAAAGUGGAAGAACCUCCCCAUCUCCUCUCAGACUAGAGGGGUCACACAGAGCAUCCAGGACUCCUCCAUGGUGCCCAAGUGGACAUGUGAGACGAAGGUCUCCUUGGAUGCCUCAUCACUGUGACAACCCAUUCCCACCUACAGGCUCUCAGAUGACGGGCAGAUUCUGCAUCUAUCACCGUUGGACUCAACGAAGAUGAGGCUGAGUCACAGGAAAUGGAGAAAGAAAGUUCUGCUUCUUACACAUUUGAAUUUAAGGAUGGAGAUUCGCGCUUCCUACAAGUCCAUGCAAAGGGUGGGCGCCAUGUGCGGGCCAUGGCAGGCUCUGGGGCUGCGUCCCAUGUAGGUGGGAUGCUGAGAUGGGAAUGGGACUCUCCACCGCUCCCCUGUGCACUCUCUGCAGUUCCCCUGGCCCUUGGAGUUCCCUGCACCACCAGCCCUGUCCUGUUGUCCUCCUGCCCUCUACCCACGAGCUCUUUGUGGCUUAUUCUCAUAGGACCCAGAGGUGCUGGGCUGAGCCUGGCUUAGCAGAACACCUGGCGGAUGAUCAGAUUGUUCUAUGGGCUCAGUGCCCCUGGGGUCGUGCUUUGGGGUCUAUAUUUUGCAUCUGGCGAGGGGUAUCUCCCUCUGCUUUCUGAUCACCACGUGAGCUGCUUCCCUCUGCCACACACUCUGCCAUGAUGUUCAGCCUGACCUCGAGCCCCAAGGAAUGGAGGCUGCUGUCUAUGGACUGAGACCUCUGAAACUGUGAGCCCUCAAAUAAACC